AAUGGUUUUGUGCAUAAAGCACAACUAAGAGGGAACGCAGUGAGAAUCUGCGACUGUCCCCGCAGCUGUAAGCUCCCCUAUGCUAUAGAGCCUCCAAGAAAGAAUGACCACUGUCUUUACGUCGUUAUGUUUUUUCGUGAAGUCGGGAAGGUGCUUGGAGGUGGAGUAAGCCAGAAGACCUGCCAUUUGAAUAU
rnacentral:ncRNA from 1 species